rnacentral:misc_RNA from 1 species
UAUCUUCCGUGUCAUAAGGUUAUCUUUUUGGCCUGUCAAAUUAUUUGGUUAAGACCAGUACACUAGUUCAACCAAAAUAAUGAGGAAUCGAAAACUACCAGGAAAUGUGUUGAUAGCUAUAUUUCUGGUUAGCCAAACGAGUUUUUCAAGGGGCGGCGGUCACCAUAACAAGGAUAGGCGUAUGUACCCCAUGCAGUCUAUGUCUAGCCAGCCAUACUGUGGACAACAUCAGUGUAUGCAUGGUUCAUGUUACUCAUAUCAGUAUAAUGGCGUAGAGACGUAUUACCGUUGUACAUGUAAUCAGGGAUGGACUGGGGACGCAUGUAAUACAUGGACAGCUGCACCGACGACCCAGAGUCCCGAUGUUCAUCAACUUCAUUACUAUGAACCCGCGUGUAAUAACCAUGGACAAAUGACGUCAUCGGGAUGCUACUGCCAUGACUUCUGGUCGGGUGAUAUAUGUCAAUAUCCACCUGGAUCAGGGCACUUUGAUCACUGUUAUCAACUAUGUAAACAUGGAACAUGUGUCGGACACCUCGGUUACAAUGGCUAUUAUUACAACUGUAAAUGUGACCAAGGCUGGCAUGGUGAUCACUGUACGCAGGAAUAUGCACCGCCUGGGACGUUACAGUGUUACAACACUUACUGUGUUCACGGGGAUUGUUGGUAUAAUAUAGAUGAGUAUGGGCAUCCGUACAAUUACCAUUGUGUAUGUCAUCACGGAUGGGAUGGCAAGCACUGUGACCAACAGUUAACGACCGUGUCAUCGACAACACAUGCUGUCACUUCUCCAAGCACACCUGCUCAAUUACUUCAUAACUAUGAACCCGGAUGUAACAACCAUGGGCAAAUGACGUCAUUGGGAUGCCAGUGCCAUGACUCCUGGUCAGGUGAUAUAUGUCAAUAUCCGCCUGGUUCAGGGCAUUUUGAUCACUGUUAUCAUCACUGUGAACAUGGAACAUGUGUCGGACAUCUUGGUAACAAUGGCGAAUAUUACAACUGUAAAUGUGACCAAGGCUGGCAUGGUACUCACUGUACGGAGGAAUAUGCACCACCUGGGACAAAACAGUGUUACAACACUUACUGUGUUCACGGGGACUGCUGGUAUUCAACAGACCAGUUUGGACAUCGAUGGAAUCACCAUUGUGAAUGUUACCGUGAAUGGGACGGCAAGCACUGUGAUCAACAAUCAACUGCCAUGUCACCGACUACACAUGCUGCCACUUCUCCAAGCACACCAGCUAUGUCGUCAUCAACAACAACACAAACAACAAUAACGCAAAAAACAACAAAGCAAACGACCUUACCCCCUGCCUCAGCAACAUCUUCUCAUGCCCCGACUUCUACACCUUUAUCAACAACAGUUACCAAUCCGUCUAUUUCUUCUGCGGCGCCUUUGUCAAGCUGUGAUCACAUUAGUACACUAAGUGCAAUCUCCCAUCAAACUCCAGUUGCCAACAAGAAUGCAAUAGAAUGUUCUCCUGGUAAUCACACUUCGCAUGAAGCGUUUGUACUCACAGAAUGCUCCGUACCACAGAAGUCCAUCGUCGUGGCAACAAGGUGAUAAUGUAAUGGCCGACUGUGGCAGUUCGGCUACCAUACCAACCUACACACCAGUUGCAGCUUUUGACCAUGGCUCUUAUUCUUCUAUCGGGAGUUUGUCCGGAAUCUUCCUUGGAUGUACAAGUAAUGGCUUUAAGAUUGCUCUACAGACAUGCGGCCAAGCACCAUAUAUCAUUGAACUGCAGCUUGGUGGUAGCAACACACAGAAUCCAAACACGUAUUACACGAUUUAGUAGACAGAUUAAAAUGUCUGCCACAUACAUCGAAAAUAAACGUAGCAAAAACAAAUAAA